AUCCCCCGUAGUAUGAAAUGAUACACCUUGUUGGUACUGUUGUUCUUAUAUCAGUCAGGGGCAAAGCAGAUGAUAGUCCUUUGUUCAUCUGAGCUUGAUGCCUGGCUUCAUGGCCAAAGCUGUCUUAUGCCUGGGACUCAUAA